UACAGAGGGUGCGAGCUUUGUUCGGAAUUAUUGGGCGUAAAGCGCUUGUAGGCGGCCUGUCAAGUCGCGUGUGAAAUCCCCUGGCUUAACCAGGGAAGUGCGCGCGAAACUGAAGGGCUUGAGUGCCGGAGAGGGUCGCGGAAUUCCCGGUGUAGAGGUGAAAUUCGUAGAUAUCGGGAGGAACACCAGUGGCGAAGGCGGCGACCUGGACGGACACUGACGCUGAGACGCGAAAGCGUGGGGAGCAAACAGG
rnacentral:rRNA from 1 species